GAAGAAGAAGAGAAGGAGGAGGAGAAAAUGAAUAAUUCUGUUUCGGAUCAGAGCUUUUACAUAGAAAGUGAUGAGGAGGAUGACGAGAGGGAACUUAACAGAGGUGGAGAAGGUGAAGACAACGACGGAAAUCGAUCAGAUUCCGAUGAUUCUUUAGCUGAUAACCGGCAGCAGAGCAAAAUUGGUUCUUAUAAUACUUCUUGGCCUCAAAGCUACAGGCAGUCCAUUGAUCUAUAUAGUAGCGUACCAUCUCCAAGUAUUAUUCUG
rnacentral:misc_RNA from 1 species